rfam:Streptomyces tsukubensis strain F601 Scaffold2_1, whole genome shotgun sequence.
CAGCGCACUCCGGGGUCGGUGUAAUUCCGAACCGGCGGUUACAGUCCGCGACCCGUCCGCAUCCAGUGGGCGGUUGACCAGGUGAGAUUCCUGGACCGACGGUGAAAGUCCGGAUGGGAGGCAGUGCGCGG